CCUACGGGAGGCAGCAGUGAGGAAUAUUGGUCAAUGGACGAGAGUCUGAACCAGCCAAGUAGCGUGAAGGAUGACUGCCCUAUGGGUUGUAAACUUCUUUUAUAUGGGAAUAAAACGUUCCACGUGUGGGAUUUUGUAUGUACCAUAUGAAUAAGGAUCGGCUAACUCCGUGCCAGCAGCCGCGGUAAUACGGAGGAUCCGAGCGUUAUCCGGAUUUAUUGGGUUUAAAGGGAGCGUAGGUGGAUUGUUAAGUCAGUUGUGAAAGUUUGCGGCUCAACCGUAAAAUUGCAGUUGAAACUGGCAGUCUUGAGUACAGUAGAGGUAGGCGGAAUGCGUGGUGUAGCGGUGAAAUGCUUAGAUAUCACGAAGAACUCCGAUUGCGAAGGCAGUUCACUGGACUGCAACUGACACUGAGGCUCGAAAGUGUGGGUAUCAAACAGGAUUAGAUACCCUUGUAGUC
rnacentral:rRNA from 1 species